UUAGAAUAUCAGAGAAGGAGGGGAUAGAACUGAAAAACAUUUCAACACAGUGUUAUUUUCCCAGUAGCGAAGACAUAACAGAAUCACCUAAACUAACAUCAAAGAUAGAAAGUUCAAGUAAAGAAGAGAUUGUAUCAAAUGAAAAAUCCGUGGCUGAAUGUGAAAGAUUUCUGUAUAAAAGCCUCUGUUGCUGCUUUGGCGAAUACACCACCACCAAUGAAGACGACUCCAUUUCAAUUACAAAGUAAA